CGGGCGGCGUUGCCUCCUCUCCCUUCAGGGAGCCGGAGGGAGGCCUUUGGAAAGGGGGAAAAGAGCUGUUCCUCCUCCCGUUAAAUCUGCACGGAAAAACAAGUAUAACACUGGCUUCUGAAAAAUGUGAUGUGGAAUAGUCCCUUCACCCUUCUCAGAACUGGAAAAAAUACAGCUUUGAUAUUUCUUCCUGAUUCAAACCUACAGUCAAGUUGA
rnacentral:lncRNA from 1 species